rnacentral:misc_RNA from 1 species
UUUUUUUUUUUUUUUGCUUUUAUUGAUUGAUUUUUCUAUUUGCGUUGCACACAUUCAUUAAUUAGGUUUUAACUUUUUUAGAUAAAUAAUUGCAUGAUCCUGCAAGCUUGGCUCAGUUUCCUUGUAGAUUUUGGGUCGUUGACUAUUGAUUUGAGUUUUCUUUUAUGAAUUAUCAGCUUUUAGGAGGUGAGGAAAACUGAAAUUACAUGGACUGUGAGAGUUUGGAAUUUCUCGGGGAGGAGGAUUUUUUUUUUC